UGGGAUACUUCUUCCACAGGAUUCCCAGAGGAGAGGAGCUUGAGAASCACUACUGGACCUUCAGAGACGGACUCGACCUGUCUUCAGGAUCACUGCUUCAAUGAGAGCACAUCCAUCAUUCCAACGGGACUGCAGCCACCACCCUGCCCAACAGUGUGUCAGCAUUUCCCAUUCUCAACCAUUGGCUGGAUAAAGCAGGAGGCUAUGAGGAAGAGGAAGAUGUCCCAGGACCCCCAGGCAGACAAUGAGCUGAGGAUGGAGACCAAGGAGGA